AGCGUAGGCGGCGUGGUAAGUCAGAUGUGAAAUCCCGGGGCUCAACCCCGGAACUGCAUCCGAUACUGCCAUGCUAGAGGAUUGGAGAGGUAGCUGGAAUUCUUGGUGUAGCAGUGAAAUGCGUAGAGAUCAAGAGGAACACUCGUGGCGAAAGCGAGCUACUGGACAAUUCCUGACGCUGAGGCUCGAAGGCCAGGGUAGCGAAAG
rnacentral:rRNA from 1 species